rnacentral:snRNA from 1 species
ACGCGGAUUACGGUGGCGGCC